rnacentral:rRNA from 1 species
UACGUAGGGUGCAAGCGUUGUCCGGAAUUAUUGGGCGUAAAGAGCUCGUAGGCGGUCUGUCGCGUCGAAUGUGAAAACCCGGGGCUCAACCCCGGGCCUGCAUUCGAUACGGGCAGACUAGAGUUCGGUAGGGGAGUCUGGAAUUCCUGGUGUAGCGGUGAAAUGCGCAGAUAUCAGGAGGAACACCGGUGGCGAAGGCGGGACUCUGGACCAUAACUGACGCUGAUGCACGAAAGCUAGGGGAGCAAACAGG